GAGUAAUUUUUGCCUUAUCAGCCAACACUAAGGUAAAGACGACAGGCAAGAAAAUUGUCCAACGUGUCCUGCAUCAGGUCUGUAAGGUUGUUUGCGGGAAACAACGAAGAAAUCAAUGUUAAAGCCCAAGUCUUUCGCAGCUAGAGGAAGAAUGAUGAGGGGGAUAGUCUCAGUGGAUGUGAACGCUGUCUGAAGCAGUUUGCACGUACAAAACAGGGUGAAACUCCACUUAUCCUCCUCGUUUGACCUUUGCAGUGAGGAGAGAAGAUUUGCAGAGGCAACAGUCACAACUUAGACAGGUAGAGGCCAGCAAUAGCUCUGCCACACCCUAAGAGAGAGACUGAUCUGCAGCAGGAUACGAUAGAUCAAUGGCAGCAAGUGCAGCCACAGACGUCGAUAAAAGUAAAACUGAUGCUGAUCUCAUCAUUGUAUUAUUUGGUGACACAAGUUCAGUUGAGACUGGAACAAAAAACAUCUUARUUAACCAAGAUGAGCACACAGAGUUUUCAUCCAAGCUGUACGACUUGUGUGGUCGACACAUWUCUGUUAUUAACCUAAUUGGCCUGCGAGACAUUAAAGAAAUAACUCUAGAUAAGGGAAUCAAUGCCUUUCUUUUACUGAUCUCGUAUGGCCACCAUGUGAGUCAAUACAAAUCAGGGCUGCAGUGGUUGGAAAAAACUUUUGGGAGAGGAGCAAUUUAUUAUUUGAUGACAGUUUUGACUCAUAAUUCAGGCGAAAAAUAUGAAGAUGCAUUUAAAGACCUGAAAGUUUGUGACAGUUUUGUUGAAAAGAGAUACCACACAUGUACCAGGAGUAUGUCCGUCUCAGAGGAGAUAGCAGAGCUGCUGCUAAAAAUACAGACAAUGGAGGCUGAUUACAAUCCAUCCUGCUUUACUGGACUCACAUGUGGUGGAAAUAAAGAGCAAAAUAAGGAUUUGGAGCCAGAAUCUGCGGGACACAACUUGAGUUACUCAUUUGGUGCGUUUUCACAGCUGUGAAAUGUCAAUGUUAAAUUUAUUUAUAUAGCACUUAAAAAA